UUGGUUGAUCCUGCCAGCAGUCAUAUGCUUUGUUCAAGGGCUAAGCCAUGCACGUCUCAGCGCAAACGGAGUGACAGUGGAUCUGUGAAUGGCUCCUUACAUCAGCAGUCAUCUACGUGAUAGAGUGUGCUCGGUCCACCUGCAAGGACCCCAUUGGACAUCCACCAAAACCUUGUGGCUAAUACACGUUCGACCCAGUCAGCCAUGCAACACUCGGCAGGGAUCCUGUCUCCGGACAGUCCCUUCACCGGUGGUGGCGGAUGUAUGCCCAGCUGAUACGAAGACCAGCGGCCGCAAGGCCAGUGUGUUGGCAUGGUUGACUCAGGCUGGCCCUCCGUGGCCGCAGUGCUGGUGGAUUUCGUGCAUGCCUCGUGCAUGCCCCACUUGAUCGCAAGAGCUUCUGACCUAUCAGCUUGACUGUGGUGUAUCGGACCACAGUGGCCUUGACGGGUAACGGAGAAUCAGGGUUCGAUUCCGGAGAGGGAGCCUGAGAGACGGCUACCACUACCAAGGUGGGCAGCAGGCACGCAAAUUGCCCCAUGCAAAGACAGUCUGUGAGGCAGCGACGAACAGUAGCAACCCCGUCGGCCCUACGUGCCGAUGGGGCUUGGAAUGGACGCUAUCCAAAGACAGCCGUAAGUAUCAACCGGAGGGCAAGUCUGGUGCCAGCAGCUGCGGUAAUUCCGGCUCCGAGGGCGUAUACUAACAUUGCUGCUGUUAAAACACUUGUAGUCUGCCUACGGGCUGCAGGUCUGCUGGGUGGCCGGUUUGUUGUUUCUCUGGCCAGGGAAGGACCUCGGUUCGACCCUGUGUUGGGCUGCAACGGCUGGACUCAACCCCCAGUGGUACGUCCCUGCGCCCACCUCUCAGUCGAUGGUGAGAUCUGCUCCUGCCAAAAUCUGCUUCACUGCAGGCCAAAGCGGUUUAUGCCUCCCGCACUGGCAACGGACACCAACAGGGGACCAAGCCUCGAUCUGGGUAGUCUACCUCUGGUCCACACCGGAACCCACCGUUUUCAACACCCUGGAAAA
rnacentral:rRNA from 1 species